AGACUACUACUACUCUAUCUGUAAAGUGUCUUGAGAUAACUCUUGUUAUGAUUUGAUACUGUAAAUCAAAUUUAAUUGAAUUGAAUUUAAUCAAAUAAUACCACAAUAAAUAUGCUACAACCCCAUGUUGUGUGAGGUCCAAGCCAAGCACACACACAAAACGUUAAGUAAAAAAGUUAUGAAAACAAGUAAUAAUAACACAAUUAUUUGAGUGGGACAUUGUUCCAUUUUACUUAACAUAAAAAAUGAGGUUAUUUUACAUUUGUCUUUUAAUAAUUUGUAUUAUAUUACAGAAUUAUAGAAGUAACGGGGUUGACAACAGCAUCCCCAUUUGGAAGACAUAUUUAUUUUGGAGACAGAUUUCAGUGGUUUUAGAAUUGAAGAUUAUGGAAAUAAAUGAUGAUACUGCAGACAGUUGUGUUAUUCUGAUUGAUUUAUUUCAUUUAUUUGUUUCACAAUAAAAUCAUUUAUUGAACAUG